rnacentral:rRNA from 1 species
UACAGAGGAUGCAAGCGUUAUCCGGAAUGAUUGGGCGUAAAGCGUCUGUAGGUGGCUUUUUAAGUCCGCCGUCAAAUCCCAGGGCUCAACUCUGGACAGGCGGUGGAAACUACCAAGCUGGAGUACGGUAGGGGCAGAGGGAAUUCCCGGUGUAGCGGUGAAAUGCGUAGAGAUCGGGAGGAACACCAGAGGCGAAGGCGGCGACCUGGACAGAUACUGACACUCAACUACGAAAGCGUGGGUAGCAAACAGG